GACGAACGCUGGCGGCAGGCCUAACACAUGCAAGUCGAGCGGAGCGGCGGACGGGUGAGUAAUGCCUAGGAAUCUGCCUGGUAGUGGGGGAUAACGUCCGGAAACGGGCGCUAAUAUCGCAUACUAUCAGAUGAGCCUAGGUCGGAUUGGCUAGUUGGUGGGGUAAAGGCCUACCAAGGCUACGAUCCGUAACUGGUCUGAGAGGAUGAUCAGUCAAACUGGAACUGAGACACGGUCCAGACUCCGACGGGAGGAAGCAGUGGGGAAGAUUGGACAAUGGGCGAAAGCCUGAGCCAGCCAGGCCGCGUGUGUGAAGAAGGUCUUCGGAUUGUAAAGCACGUUAAGUUGGGAGGCGUUACCAACAGAAUAAGCACCGGCUAACUUCGUGCCAGCCGCCGCGGUAAUAC
rnacentral:rRNA from 1 species